rnacentral:rRNA from 1 species
AUCCGGUGGUUCUGAAUGGAAGGGCCAUCGCUCAACGGAUAAAAGGUACUCCGGGGAUAACAGGCUGAUACCGCCCAAGAGUUCAUAUCGACGGCGGUGUUUGGCACCUCGAUGUCGGCUCAUCACAUCCUGGGGCUGAAGUAGGUCCCAAGGGUAUGGCUGUUCGCCAUUUAAAGUGGUACGCGAGCUGGGUUUAGAACGUCGUGAGACAGUUCGGUCCCUAUCUGCCGUGGGCGCUGGAGAACUGAGGGGGGCUGCUCCUAGUACGAGAGGACCGGAGUGGACGCAUCACUGGUGUUCGGGUUGUCAUGCCAAUGGCACUGCCCGGUAGCUAAAUGCGGAAGAGAUAAGUGCUGAAAGCAUCUAAGCACGAAACUUGCCCCGAGAUGAGUUCUCCCUGACUCCCUGAGAGUCCUGAAGGAACGUUGAAGACGACGACGUUGAUAGGCCGGGUGUGUAAGCGCAGCGAUGCGUUGAGCUAACCGGUACUAAUGAACCGUGAGG